AAGUCGUAACAAGGUUUCCGUAGGUGAACCUGCGGAAGGAUCAUUAACAAAUCUAAAACCACGCUGGGCGACGGUGGGGCGAGGAAUUGGUGCGGUGGGCGAUGCAUAUAGGAAGGAGGGUGACGGCUGGGGCGAGUGGGCAGAGGUAUGGCACACAAAGCGUAUGUUGUAGGGUUAGGGUAUUAUGUGCAGCCACAAACUGUGCAUAGGCAACGCACGACUUGUCGCGCUGCGCCAAACACAAUGUCCGAUGAACAUAUAAUAUCAUCAGUACAACUUUUAACAACGGAUCUCUAGGCUCUU
rnacentral:misc_RNA from 1 species